CAAUAUCGACGCAAAUGUCCAUUGGCCAGGGCAAUAGGGGACAACCGAGUUGGAUUCUUCAGCCAGCAGGUAAUCCAAGCAGCAGGAAGACUUACCAAAAGGAUAAAGCUCCUGGUGAUAUCAUGCACAGUAAGUUCUUUCGACUGGUAGUAACAUGGAAAGACAUAACUACCGAAAAGCUACUCCAGUUCUAUGCGGAACCUGAACUAUCCCAUCAUAAGGUUGCUACGACAACAUAAAACGUCUAUCUGAUUCGAUGAUGUAUAUCUCAGCCACUACCACACGGAAGAUAGUCCGGAUGAAACCAAGUUUGUUUGCCCUUUGCUGUAACCGACCUCAAAAAAUUCUCCUGAUGCAAUCAACUGCCACGGCUUCUUCUCGAAACAUCUGAUUACGGAAAAUAUGUACUAUAUUCCGGAUGUAUAGAUUCGAGUGUGACCCUCUGCCUGCUAAUCUCGUUGAACAUCGAACAACAAAAGUACUGGUUGGAUCUCAGCUAUCACAUUCAGACAUCGGAUGGCGAUUCCAGGACAUGGAAGUUCUAGGACGUAUUCAUGUUGCUUUCAACAACGUCCUUCAUCCGGAAGAUCGAUACAGUUGAAGCAACUGAAUCAGCGCCAAGAAUUCAAUUGUUUUGUUCGACCGGGGUGAUAAAUAUUCUUCAGAUUUUGAUCGCCAGAUGGCUUGAAAAAUAAUCAUCCCCAAAUCCAUGGACAUACGGAAAAACAAGUAGCUAACAUUGUGGAGUUGCACCAUACAAACAGACGUUCGGAAAUUUGCGUGAUUUCUGAGGCAUGGUUCCUGAACAAAGUUGACACCUCUUUCAGUUGACACCCAAACCUACCCUCGAGUACUAAGUUAAGUGGAAUCAGUAGCAUCGGCGUCAAGCACAAAAAGGCUGUCCUAUCGUGGGGCGAAAGACAGGUGUAUUUAUUGAGGAAUAAAUCGAUCCAUCUCGGCAAUUUAAUGUAAUGGUUGGCAGCAAGGAACCUCCCGAAGAAAAAAGUCAUCUCUACACGUUUG